GGGGGAAUGGCUCAGUGGCAGAGCGCAUGCUUAGCAUGCACAAGGUCUGAGGUUCAAUUCCCAGCACCUCCA
rnacentral:tRNA from 1 species